UCAGAAAGUCCUGCCAGAACUCUUUGCUGUACCCCUCCACUGCUCUGCUUUGUGUAAAUCCUGCUUGCUAUAUUCCCAGGGAAACUCCAAUGGAAUUAAGCCUCAGAGAUGUAAAAAGAGGAAAUAGAGGGCAGGGAGUGUGCCACAGAGUGUGACCAAAGCCUGCUGAGAAGUUGCAGGGAAGGCCUGCCUCCCAGCCAAAGUGGAGUGAAGGAGAACACAUGGAAAGAACAUUUGGGCCAGAGACUCCCUACUGCAAGUGGGGUUCAAGGACCAACUGCACCAGCAUCAUCAGAGAAAAAUUCAGAAUCUCAGGCCCUACCUUAGACUUCUGGAACCUGAAUCUCCAUUUUAACCAGACACGGACUGACUGAUGUGCAUGUUAAAGUUUGAGAAGUUCUA
ensembl:lncRNA